rnacentral:rRNA from 1 species
GGUUGCCCGAUCAUACCAGCACUAAUGCACCGGAUCCCAUCAGAACUCCGUAGUUAAGCGCGCUUGGGCGAGAGUAGUACUAGGAUGGGUGACCCCCUGGGAAGUCCUCGUGUUGCAACCC